rnacentral:rRNA from 1 species
UACGGGGGGGGCAAGCGUUGUUCGGAAUUACUGGGCGUAAAGGGCUCGUAGGUGGCCAACUAAGUCGGACGUGAAAUCCCUCGGCUUAACCGGGGAACUGCGUCUGAUACUGGAUGGCUUGAGUUCGGGAGAGGGAUGCGGAAUUCCAGGUGUAGCGGUGAAAUGCGUAGAUAUCUGGAGGAACACCGGUGGCGAAGGCGGCAUCCUGGACCGACACUGACGCUGAGGAGCGAAGGCCAGGGGAGCAAACGGG